rnacentral:rRNA from 1 species
ACUAUCAAUAAGCGGAGGAAAAGAAACCAACAAGGAUUGCCUCAGUAUCGGCGAGUGAAGCGGCAAAAGCUUAAAUUUAAAAUCUGGCACUAGCCCGAAUUGUGAUUUGCAGAGGAUGUCUUCAAGCAAAGGCUUUGAGUCUAAGUUCCCUGGAAUGGGAUAUCAUGGAGGGUGAGAAUCCCGUACAUGGUUCAUAGCCCCUUGCAUACACGAAGCUCCUUCAACGAGUCGAGUUGUUUGGGAAUGCAGCUCAAAAUGGGAGGUAAAUUCCUUCCAAAGCUAAAUAUCAGCCAGAGACCGAUAGCGAACAAGUAGAGUGAUCGAAAGAUGAAAAGCACUUUGGAAAGAGAGUUAAAAAGUACGUGAAAUUGUUGAAAGGGAAGCGCUUGCAACCAGACUUUUCAUCAUGGGUCGGAUCAUCCAGGCUCUUUGGCCUGGUGCACUCUGCCUGUGUAUGUGCCAGCAUCGGUUUGUUGGUCAAGAGAUAAAAGUAGUGGCUUGUCAAAUCCUUUGGGUUUUUGACAUCCAUCUACAAAUACAUCUUGAACCCAGACCGAGGACAGCGCAUUUUGCAUGGAUGCUGGUGUAAUGGUUGUAAGCGGCCCGUCUUGAAACACGGACCAAGGAGUCCAACAUCCAUGCGAGCGUUUGGAUUUAAAGUCCGAACGCGCAAUGAAAGUGAACGCAAAUGGGAACUAAUCUUUGUGCACCAUUGACCGAUCUUGAUCUUUUGAAAUGGAUUUGAGUAAGAGUAUGGCUGUUGGGACCCGAAAGAUGGUGAACUAUGCCCGCGUAGGCUGAAGUCAGGGGAAACCCUGAUGGAGGGUCGCAGCGGUUCUGACGUGCAAAUCGAUCGUCAAACGUGGGUAUAGGGGCGAAAGACCAAUCGAACCAUCUAGUAGCUGGUUCACGCCGAAGUUUCCCUCAGGAUAGCAGUGACGACAUCAGUUUUAUGAGGUAAAGCGAAUGAUUAGAGGCCUCGGGGUCGAAAUGACCUCAGCCUAUUCUCAAACUUUGAAUGUGUAAGAAGCCCCUUGUUACUUAACAUGAACGUGGGAUUAGAAUGUACUGUCACUAGUGGGCCAUUUUUGGUAAGCAGAACUGGCGAUGCGGGAUGAACCGAACGCGGGGUUAAGGUGCCAGAAUGCACGCUCAUCAGAUACCACAAAAGGUGUUGGUUCAUUUAGACAGCAGGACGGUGGCCAUGGAAGUCGGAAUCCGCUAAGGAGUGUGUAACAACUCACCUGUCGAAUGGACCAGCCCUGAAAAUGGAUGGCGCUCAAGCGUGUUACCUAUACCCCGCCGUUGGGGUAGAUAUUAUACCCCAACGAGUAGGCGUGCGUGGAGGUUAGGUGAAGAAG